rnacentral:rRNA from 1 species
GACGUAGGGCGCGAGCGUUGUCCGGAUUUAUUGGGCGUAAAGAGCUCGUAGGUGGUUCGGUAAGUCGGAUGUGAAAUCUCCAGGCUCAACCUGGAGGGGUCAUUCGAUACUGCCGUGACUAGAGUUCGGUAGGGGAGUGUGGAAUUCCUGGUGGAGCGGUGAAAUGCGCAGAUAUCAGGAGGAACACCGGUGGCGAAGGCGGGUCUCUGGGCCGUAACUGACGCUGAGGAGCGAAAGCGUGGGGAGCGAACAGG